GGCGGACGGGUGAGUAACGCGUGGGUAACCUGCCUCACACUGGGGGAUAACAGUUAGAAAUAGCUGCUAAUACCGCAUAAGCGCACAGUUCCGCAUGGAACAGUGUGAAAAACUCCGGUGGUGUGAGAUGGACCCGCGUCUGAUUAGCCAGUUGGCGGGGUAACGGCCCACCAAAGCGACGAUCAGUAGCCGGCCUGAGAGGGUGAACGGCCACAUUGGGACUGAGACACGGCCCAAACUCCUACGGGAGGCAGCAUG
rnacentral:rRNA from 1 species